UACAGAGGUGGCAAGCGUUGUUCGGAAUUACUGGGCGUAAAGGGUGCGUAGGCGGCGCGGUAAGUCGGGUGUGAAAGUCACAGGCUCAACCUGUGAAAGCGGGUGGAUACUGCCGGGCUAGAGUCCGGAAGAGGCGAGUGGAAUUCCUGGUGUAGCGGUGAAAUGCGUAGAGAUCAGGAAGAACACCGGUGGCGAAAGCGUUCUGCUAGACCUGUACUGACACUGAGGGACGAAAGCUAGGGGAGCGAAUGGG
rnacentral:rRNA from 1 species